UACAUUUUGGUGUAUAGUGCACAAGAACUUUUGAUGUUUUGGGGGAUAGUUUGAUUCUAUUGGAUGUAA
rnacentral:tRNA from 1 species